GUGUUGCUCAUGGACUAGAGCUCCUCAUAGGCGGGCAUUGCAGCUGGAUUGAAGUGUAUUUCUAGCUACCAGCUCAUCUGCUUCCUCUUCAUCAUGGUGUGUAUGUGCUAGCUGUUCUACUACAAUCUUAGCCGAAUAAUGCAUGGGAAAGUUUGGUUUUUUCUUGGUUUUGGUUUGGUGCCUCUUGUUAGUUUUGGGGUUUGGACCGGGGCUAAUCUCGCUUUAAUUACUUGAGUCGCACUAGCCUCGCUCCCUACCCAAACGACCCAGCCUAGAGAGAGAGAGGGAGAUGAACAUCGACACAGAGGUAGAGAGAGAGAUGUGUGGUGGUGUGGGCAGCCACAGUAGCAAGCCGGCCAAUGGGAGGACAAGGAGAGGUUUUGGGAGGUUGGAAGGUUUCUGUGGUUGGAGCUGUGGUCAUGUCGUGGCUGCAAAUUGCAAAUAGUAGGAGCAAACCAAGUGGAGCGGGAGAGGUACAGCUAGCCUUGCCGUACGUGGCUGUUUAGUUAGUUAGGUUAGCCAGCAGGCUGCAGAAAUUAAGAACUUGUGUGUCGUGUGUUCCGAUUAGUUUGGAUCAUUAGACCAUCUCAUCUCCACGCGACUCUUUAUAUCUUAGGAAUAGAGAUUUUAGUUAAAAAUUACCCUCCAACAAUCUCUUCAAUUGGAUAUCUAAAUACAGACAUUCUCUAUUUCUGAUUUCUCGCUAGCUAAAGAUGGAGAGAGAGAGUUGCUAUCUAGACUACGCACAAGAUAUAGAAAAGACUCUUAAAGAUAUAGAAAAUAUUUUUUACUCACUAAAUAAUGAUUUAGAGAGUAGAUUUUAGAAAGACUCUUAAAGAUGCUCUUAUUAAUACUAAUUUUAGUUGGGGUGCUUAUCUACCUGUGGUCUUGUUUAAAGACUGCAUUAUAUUUUCGAUAUAUAUUUGUGGCAUUGGAUCGGUCUCUUAAAAGAUGGAUGUAUCAGUGUUCGGUCGGGUAUAUGCAUUUUCUUUGAUAUGAAAAGGAAAAGGCAGACAUUUGAAAACAAAGAACAAGAAUGCAAACGUGUGAUCUAUUCCCAUCAAUAUUGAUUUUUAGCUUAUUGCGAGAAGUAAUUUUGGUUCUUUUUUUUAAAAAAAGAGAGUGAUAUAUAUUUUUGUGCGCACGUGAUUUUAAAGGGAUUAGUAAUAAUCUCUUUAUUCUCCAUGCAUGAAUGAAAUUGGGAAAAAGAGAGAGAGUUUUAUGUGGCUAAUGAAUGAUCUUGUUGUACAAAAAAUACUAAUCCAAUUAAUUAGUUAAUAUUUUAUUCUAUGUACAAGAUACCCACACGUAGGGCCUAAAUUUGGUUGUUAAAUUACGCUUUAGAUAUGAGAUCCGAGUGCGUCCAAGUGUUUUCGUUGGUGGUGACACUAUUGACAGGUAUGUACGGCAGCCAAUGCAAGUGGAUGUUAUGGACUUGGACUGGAUCCUUUUAGUUUUGUGAGCUACUAUACUUACUUUUUGUUUGGAGCUAGAGGUCAUCUCCCAGGACUUUGUUUAGAAAAACAAAAAAGAAAAAGAUGUACCCCCACCUCUUGUGAUCCCAGGACUUGAAACAACAAACUCGAUCAUACCGUACCCAAAGUCUUAAUCAAUAUCCACCUCCUCUUGUGGGCAACAAGUUUACAGCUUACUGAUGCUACUUUUACCAUCCAUGCAUACUAAAUGCAGCAUGAAUGGAUAAUCUUAGUUACUUAUUUUGCAACAUUAUUGCUAAUAAACCUUGUAGAUCCUCCACACAGACGUGACAGAAGCAUGCAGCUGACGAUGCGGAGUGGAUAAGAAGAAAAAAGCAAGCUGCGAGCAACGAUUCGAUGGGAAGGGGACGUACACGCGUGAUCAUGCAGAUCCAAUCGGCGCAGGCCACCUAGCAGCUAAGCUAGCCUUAAUGGGAGAGGGAGAGAGACAGAUGGGCAGGAGUGUGGCUACGUGUGCUCACGUACGCCUCUCAUGCACAGGCGAUGCGCCCAAUGAGACCAACGAGCCCACAACUCUGGAUCGGAUUCCUACAUCCCUUUUAUACCCUUAGCUUGUUCAUUCUUUUACCACCACAAAUGCAGAACUGUGCAUCACUGAUGCAAAAAAGCUUAUUCUGAGAAUCUGAACUGCUGCUGCUUGCGAUGCUCUGUACCACGUUGAGUUCGUCCUCGUCACCUGAUCUACCAAGAAGAAUUGUAUUGUGCUUCGCCAAUAAACAAAGCAUUCAGCA
rnacentral:lncRNA from 1 species